CAAAAGGGCUGUCUGUUGUUUUUAUUCAGAAGGAAAAUGACAGCUGAUGGAGCAGCCUGGAGUGCUUCCUUGGUCUCUGAUAAUCUUAAGAAGUCACUGCUGGAAGUUUUGGAGGAUGUGAGGACAUCCAACUACUUGGAGUUUGCUCAUCAGGUCCAGCAAGGGGAGUCAGAAUGCUCAAUUGUGACUAUAUAAUGUCACCAUUUGAAGAGAUGGAUCCAGGAAACGUAAGAGAAAUUCAAGGGAAAAUCUGAAAAGGUUUAUGAGGACCUAUUGAGUCAAUACAAGGUGGAAGGUGACAACUUCAUGUAUCACAUCAUUACCAGUGAUGAGAUAUGGUGUCACCACUAUGGGCUGGAGUCCAAGCAG
rnacentral:lncRNA from 1 species